rnacentral:rRNA from 1 species
CUUGCUCUUAUGAAGUUAGCGGCGGACGGGUGAGUAACACGUGGGUAACCUGCCCAUAAGACUGGGAUAACUCCGGGAAACCGGGGCUAAUACCGGAUAAUAUUUUGAACUGCAUGGUUCGAAAUUGAAAGGCGGCUUCGGCUGUCACUUAUGGAUGGACCCGCGUCGCAUUAGCUAGUUGGUGAGGUAACGGCUCACCAAGGCAACGAUGCGUAGCCGACCUGAGAGGGUGAUCGGCCACACUGGGACUGAGACACGGCCCAGACUCCUACGGGAGGCAGCAGUAGGGAAUCUUCCGCAAUGGACGAAAGUCUGACGGAGCAACGCCGCGUGAGUGAUGAAGGCUUUCGGGUCGUAAAACUCUGUUGUUAGGGAAGAACAAGUGCUAGUUGAAUAAGCUGGCACCUUGACGGUACCUAACCAGAAAGCCACGGCUAACUACGUGCCAGCAG